UACGGAGGGUGCGAGCGUUGUCCGGAAUCACUGGGCGUAAAGGGCGCGUAGGUGGCCCGUUAAGUGGCUGGUGAAAUCCCGGGGCUACAACUCCGGGGCUGCCGGUCAGACUCGGUCGAGCUAGAGCACGGUAGGGGCAGAUGGAAUUCCCGGUGUAGCGGUGGAAUGCGUAGAGAUCGGGAAGAAUACCAGUGGCGAAGGCGUUCUGCUGGGCCGGUUGCUGACACUGAGGCGCGACAGCGUGGGGAGCAAACAGG
rnacentral:rRNA from 1 species